rnacentral:lncRNA from 1 species
CUUCCUGUUGUCAUGUGAAGGACAUGUUUGCUUCCCCUUCCACCGUGAUUGUAAGUUUCCUAAGGCCUCCCCAGCCAUGCUGAACUGAUUAUAGGACUGUGUAUGUCCUACACACACAUUAUAUGUCCUACACGCACAGUGAUGAGGAGUGACAAAAUGAAGACUCCAGAAUCCUCUUUAUCAGAUCCUGAAUGUGCACUUUCUGAAGUGAAGUCCACUAUGUGCUGGGCACACAGAGAAUAGAGCAUGAAACAAAAGCAACAUGACCCUGCCCUCACCAAGACUACAGGGAGUGAUGGAGCAUACAACUUUGUUUCAGAAUGCAAUUCAGAUCUUCCCUUUCGCUUGGCUUCUUAAAACUUCUUUUGAGGAUGGUAAAAUUUCGUGUUAUAUUAAAUUUCAUCCUGUAACUGAUACUCUGGGAUGAUGUUGGCCAAUAACUAGCAAGACUUUAAAUAAUCAACUAGUUUAGGCAUUGCUUAGCACGCUCCAGCUGACUUCACAAGUAAAACCAUGUGAAGAAAGAAGGUUUUCAGGUAACACAGAUGGAGGUGAUGAUCUUUCUCAUUUUGUGGAAAAUAUUAAUUUCUCAUUUUUUAUUCACUGACAAUUAGUAAAAUUCCUUACUCUACCUAAUAUGUAGACUUCUGAACUAUGUAAGUAAAACUUUAUAGUAACU